UAGGGAAUCUUCGGCAAUGGACGAAAGUCUGACCGAGCACCGCCGCGGGAGUGAAGAAGGUUUUCGGAUCGUAAAACUCUGUUGUUAGAGAAGAACAAGGACGUUAGUAACUGAACGUCCCCGGACGGUAUCUAACAAGAAAGCCACGGCUAACUACGUGCCAGCAGCCGCGGUAAUACGUAGGUGGCAAGCGUUGUCCGGAUUUAUUGGGCGUAAAGCGAGCGCAGGCGGUUUCUUAAGUCUGAUGUGAAAGCCCCCGGCUCAACCGGGGAGGGUCAUUGGAAACUGGGAGACUUGAGUGCAGAAGAGGAGAGUGGAAUUCCAUGUGUAGCGGUGAAAUGCGUAGAUAUAUGGAGGAACACCAGUGGCGAAGGCGGCUCUCUGGUCUGUAACUGACGCUGAGGCUCGAAAGCGUGGGGAGCAAACAGG
rnacentral:rRNA from 1 species